AACGAACGCUGGCGGCAUGCCUAACACAUGCAAGUCGAACGAGACCUUCGGGUCUAGUGGCGAACGGGUUCGUAACGCGGGGGAACCUGCCCUUAGGUUCGGCAUAACUCCCCGAAAGGGGUGCUAAUACCGGAGAAUGUCUUCGGACCAAAGAUUUAUCGCCUUUGGAUGGGCCCGCGUUGGAUUAGCUAGUUGGUAGGGUAAAACCCACCCAAGGCGACGAUCCAUAGCUGGUUUGAGAGGAUGCUCAGCCACACUGGGACUGAGACACGGCCCAGACUCCUGCGGGAGGCAGCAGUGGGGAAUAUUGGACAGUGGGCGAAAGCCUGAUCCAGCAAUGCCGCGUGAGUGAUGAAGGCCUUAGGGUUGUAAAGCUCUUUUACCCGGGAUGAUAAUGACAGUACCGGGAGAAUAAGCUCCGGCUAACUCCGUG
rnacentral:rRNA from 1 species